rnacentral:rRNA from 1 species
UACGUAGGGGGCUAGCGUUGUCCGGAAUCAUUGGGCGUAAAGCGCGCGUAGGCGGCCCGGUAAGUCCGUUGUAAAAGUCAAAGGCUCAACCUUUGAAAGCCGAUGGAUACUGCCGGGCUAGAGUCCGGAAGAGGCGAGUGGAAUUCCUGGUGUAGCGGUGGAAUGCGCAGAUAUCAGGAGGAACACCGAUAGCGGAGGCAGCUCGGUGGGACGGUACUUACGCUAAGACGCGAAAGCGUGGGGAGCGAACAGG